rnacentral:rRNA from 1 species
UUCGAUUCUGGCUCAGGAUGAACGCUAGCGACAGGCUUAACACAUGCAAGUCGAGGGGCAGCAUAAAAGUAGCAAUACUUGGUGGCGACCGGCGCACGGGUGAGUAACGCGUAUGCAACCUACCUAUCAGAGGGGAAUAACCCGGCGAAAGUCGGACUAAUACCGCAUAAAACAGGGGCACCGCAUGGUGAUAUUUGUUAAAGAAAUUCGCUGAUAGAUGGGCAUGCGUUCCAUUAGGUAGUUGGUGAGGUAACGGCUCACCAAGCCGACGAUGGAUAGGGGAACUGAGAGGUUGGUCCCCCACACUGGUACUGAGACACGGACCAGACUCCUACGGGAGGCAGCAGUGAGGAAUAUUGGUCAAUGGGCGGGAGCCUGAACCAGCCAAGUCGCGUGAAGGAAAGAAGGAUCUAUGGUUCGUAAACUUCUUUUGCAGGGGAAUAAAGUGCAGGACGUGUCCUGUUUUGUAUGUACCCUGAGAAUAAGGAUCGGCUAACUCCGUGCCAGCAGCAGC